UGCCAUAUGACCUAUGAUCCCACCAUCUC
rnacentral:piRNA from 1 species